AUUGAACGCUGGCGGAAUGCUUUACACAUGCAAGUCGAACGGCAGCACGGACUUCGGUCUGGUGGCGAGUGGCGAACGGGUGAGUAAUGUAUCGGAACGUGCCCAGUCGUGGGGGAUAACGUAGUGAAAAUUACGCUAAUACCGCAUACGAUCUAUGGAUGAAAGCGGGGGAUCGCAAGACCUCGCGCGAUUGGAGCGGCCGAUAUCAGACUAGGUAGUUGGUGGGGUAAAGGCCCACCAAGCCAACGAUCCGUAGCUGGUCUGAGAGGACGACCAGCCACACUGGAACUGAGACACGGUCCAGAAUCCUACGGGAGGCAGCAGUGGGGAAUUUUGGACAAUGGGCGAAAGCCUGAUCCAGCCAUUCCGCGUGCAGGAUGAAGGCCCUCGGGUUGUAAACUGCUUUUGUACAGAACGAAAAGGUUUCUACUAAUACUAGGAGCUCAUGACGGUACUGUAAGAAUAAGCACCGGCUAACUACGUGCCAGCCGCCGCGGUAA
rnacentral:rRNA from 1 species